rnacentral:sRNA from 1 species
CUCAGAACUGCCUGCUGGGACAGGAGCCCUGCCUUCUGCCUCCAUGUGGGCUGGUCAGAGGCCAGGGAGGUGAAGAACGCCCUUGUCAAGGACAGCCCCAAGUAGGAGUGCUGGGGUAGAGGACUCUGACCCAGGAGGACCCAGGUGACAACCAGAUCACGCUGGAGGAGAUCACGCAGAUGGCUGAAGGCGUGAAGGCUGAGCCCUUUGAAAACCACUCAGCCCUGGAGAUCGCGGAGCAGCUGACCCUGCUAGAUCACCUCGU